UAAUACGUAGGGUGCAAGCGUUAAUCGGAAUUACUGGGCGUAAAGGGUGCGCAGGCGGCCCCGCGUGUCAGGCGUGAAAUCCCCGGGCUCAACUUGGGAAUGGCGUCUGAGACUACGGGGCUGGAGUGUGGCAGAGGGAGGUGGAAUUCCACGUGUAGCGGUGAAAUGCGUAGAGAUGUGGAGGAACACCGAUGGCGAAGGCAGCCUCCUGGGCCAACACUGACGCUCAUGCACGAAAGCGUGGGGAGCAAACAGGA
rnacentral:rRNA from 1 species